rnacentral:lncRNA from 1 species
CUUCUUAUUUUAGGUUAUGUUUUUUGCAGCAGUGUUGAAAGAACUGUCUGAAAUAAAGUGUGUAUUCCUUGUAGUGUGUGUGUGUGUGUGUGUGUGUGUGUGUGUGUGUGUGUGUGUGUGUGUGUGUGUGUGUGUGUGUGUGUGUGUGUGUGUGUGUGUGUGUGUGUGCGCGUGCACGUGUGCGUGACUGAGUGCAGAGUUUUUUCUCUCAAUAGGGAGACCCUGGUUUGAUCCUCUCGGCGGGUCCAUUCGGACAGAUGGGAGAACCGGGCUCGCCUGGACUUCCAGGUGUUCCUGGCAGUCAAGGCCUUCCGGGACUAGCAGGCCCAACAGGACCACCCGGACCCCCAGGCUUUCAGGGGAGGCCUGGACCACCGGGGCCUCCAGGGCCCAAGGGUAACAUGGGCCUGAACUUCCAAGGAGAGAAGGGGAAGAAGGUAGGAACGGCGCUGUUGCGCAGCCCACUCGGCGCUCACAUUCUCACGUGCGCCGUUGUAACCGAUGCUGCUUUGUGCGUCUUCAUGUACGUGCAGGGUGAACAAGGAAUGCGUGGGCAACCGGGGCCCCCCGGCCUCAUUCGUGAGCAGAAGCAAGCGAGGGAUUCGGAGGUGCGGAGGGGAAACAAGGUGUGUCGAUUCAAAACUGCCGCAUGUAUUAACUGA